AGAGUUUGAUCUUGGCUCAGGAUGAACGCUGGCGGCGUGCCUAAUACAUGCAAGUCGAACGAACUUCCGUUAAUUGAUUAUGACGUGCUUGCACUGAAUGAGAUUUUAACACGAAGUGAGUGGCGGACGGGUGAGUAACACGUGGGCAACCUGCCCAGAAGCAGGGGAUAACACCUGGAAACAGAUGCUAAUACCGUAUAACAGAGAAAACCGCCUGGUUUUCUUUUAAAAGAUGGCUCUGCUAUCACUUCUGGAUGGACCCGCGGCGCAUUAGCUAGUUGGUGAGGUAACGGCUCACCAAGGCGAUGAUGCGUAGCCGACCUGAGAGGGUAAUCGGCCACAUUGGGACUGAGACACGGCCCAGACUCCUACGGGAGGCAGCAGUAGGGAAUCUUCCACAAUGGACGCAAGUCUGAUGGAGCAACGCCGCGUGAGUGAAGAAGGGUUUCGGCUCGUAAAGCUCUGUUGUUAAAGAAGAACGUGGGUGAGAGUAACUGUUCACCCAGUGACGGUAUUUAACCAGAAAGCCACGGCUAACUACGUGCCAGCAGCCGCGGUAAUACGUAGGUGGAGUACAGGAAUCUCAACCUGUUAUCCAUCGCCUACGCCUCUCGGCCUCGGCUUAGGUCCCGACUAACCCUGGGAGGACGAGCCUUCCCCAGGAAACCUUAGUCAUACGGUGGACCGACUAACCCUGGGAGGACGAGCCUUCCCCAGGAAACCUUAGUCAUACGGUGGAUAGGAUUCUCACCUAUCUUUCGCUACUCAUACCGGCAUUCUCACUUCUAAGCGCUCCAACAGUCCUCACGGUCUGCCUUCGUCGCCCUUAGAACGCUCUCCUAUCACGCCACCUAAUGGUGGCAUCCACAGUCUCGGUAAUAUGUUUAAGCCCCGGUACAUUUUCGGCGCAGGAUCACUCGACUAGUGAGCUAUUACGCACUCUUUAAAUGCCGACUAACCCUGGGAGGACGAGCCUUCCCCAGGAAACCUUAGUCAUACGGUGGACCAGAUUCUCACUGAUCUUUCGCUACUCAUACCGGCAUUCUCACUUCUAAGCGCUCCACCAGUCCUUACGGUCUAGCUUCAUCGCCCUUAGAACGCUCUCCUACCAUGCAACAUAG
rnacentral:rRNA from 1 species